rnacentral:tRNA from 1 species
GCCUGGGUGGCUCAGUCGGUUGAGCAUCCGACUUCAGCUCAGGUCACGAUCUCACGGUUUGUGGGUUCGAGCCCCGCGUCGGGCU